UUCAAAGAGCGGCUGACUCAGUCGGUGCAACUUCUCCAGAGCGGCUGCACGGGCUCUGAUGGCGACACAGCUGUUUCAUGACUGGCCGUAUUCACAAAUGACAACAGUGAUGUGUGUUUCGUGUUUAUUCUGAAAACUUCAGUUCCUCUAAUGCUCACAAAUCUGUGUUUUUAUAACAGUAAAAACUCUUUUCAUGUAACCAUAAUGUUAUAUUGUGUCAUGUUUAUCACAAUAACAAAAAUAUAGACCCACUUUAUUGGUAUUUAAGCCUAUGUAGAGUAGGCUUAUGUUGAACUUUAUUCUUGUACAGUAUUAAGCAGCGUACAUGAAGUGUUUCUGUUGCUUCAUUAAAACAUCUGAAAAGUCUGUGUAUUUGACAAAUAUUGCAUUAAAUCCAUUUUGUCUGUGAUAAAGUACACAAACACCAUGCAAGCGUCACUAUGGAAACCAGAAAGUAUCCAACUUGAUGGCUUUGUUUUCAAUUCUGCCCCCAACUGCAAGCGGCAAAUCUCACCGAUUGGUCUGUGCUGUGCUGCAUGAAGUCAUAUCACAUGUUCACAAGUGUUCACAAUUGUUCACUCUUGUUUUAUACGAGCACAAUACAAUCAUGAGGAUGUUUUGACAGGUAGUGAGUAGGUUUUUUCAUGCUUUAGGAGCAUGAUUCAAUAGAUUUUGCGAAUGUUUUGAUAUUUUACGUUAAUAAACUGUGUAAUAACAAAUCUCUUGUUGGCAUGGAGCCAAUUGCAAAGAUUAUAUAGAGGGUGUGCACGUGACGUCACCGUCGACCGCUACGACUGCGGUUACGCCCAGUUAGUGGCACAAAGACAGAGUGGCAGCAUUGGUUUUCAGCGUGAAUGCAGCUUAAAACACACAAAACACAUCCAAAAUGGGAAAGAGCUUUGCGAUUGACUGAACAAAUAGCUUUGACCAAAAAUAUGAGGUAUAUUUUUAAAGACUGCCGAAAGCCACAGAAAAAAGAAGCAAAUGGAUCACUGCAAUUCACAGAAACAACUGGACUCCAGGCAGAGAAACAUGGAUUUGCAGUUAUAAUUUUGUCAAAUUGUGAGACCUGAUGGAAGUGAAUGAGAAGAGUGAAGUGGAGGAGAAUCAUCAUGUCAAACCUGGAGGAAAAAAAAAAAAAAAACAUGCAACCCCAACUCCAAACGUUCUUGGCAGCAGAAAAAGACAAAAUAUAAAAAUAUAAUUCAGAGUGGAGUUUUAAAUGUGAAUGACUGUAUGUUCUGCAGUAGAGGGAAAUACAGUGUCCCUGUUGAAGCCAGCACACAGUCUCUCACAUAGAGGAUUUUGCACAACCUGCCCCUGAAACUGAGGCCUUUACCUCAAUGGGCUUCAGAAGAAAUGUGAACAAGGUUUCAGGUGGAAACAGACUCAGUCAGGGCCCUUUACAAAAGGAGCCUAGAACCGGACUGCACACUAAAUGAGCUGGACCAAAUUAAAAAAAUAAUAAUAAUAAUAAAACUGGAGAUAUUUCUCCCUCCCAUUGCCACAAAACCAAUAAAACAGUUUGGGACCUAUGCAGUUUCAAUGUGCUUUUAUUAAGUGAAAUAUUGUAUGAUAAUUGCAUCUCUGACAGCUGCGCCAGCUGGGUGGUCAAGUGUGAUGGGGUCAAUUUCAUCGGGGAGAUGUUGGUUUUGUGGUGGUAAUCGCUCCUUUCUGAUUGUGGCUAUAUUAUGCAGAAUGGCACAUGCAGCUACAAUCUGUGAUGCUCACUCUGGUGACACUCUUAUGUGCCGUAAGCAAUUGAAACAUGAAUUUAGGAUGCCAAAGGUCAUCUCGAUCUUGACCCUGGUUUUACUGAGGGCCACAUUGAAGCAAUUUUGUGGCCCUGGCUGAAGGUCAGGAUGGGGGUUAGCAAAAACCUCUGGCAUGCAUAACCCCUGUCUCCUACCAACAGGCCAUCAAAAAGCCCCGUCAUAGAACAUAAAAUGGGAAAAUUGUGUAGGGUUUGCUGUCACAAUUAAAAUGGACACUUUAAGUGUUUUGUACUGUACUAAAUGUAACUUACCUUCCUCAAAGUGCUGACACAACAGACUCGCGGAAAAUUCUUGAGUCAUGCACUGAGCCAGGCCAUUUGGCAUCCAAGCUUGUGAUCAUACAUUGAUGAUCACAAGUCAUCUGCAGAUUAAAUGUACAGUAGAUCAUUUUCAUAUCUGUUAAUGUUACCAUUCAUUUAAAGAUUCAUCUCACUGAAAAUAAAAAGUCAUCUCACAUGUAGGCCUACAUGAACAUUAAGGCUGUGAAAGGAUUUUCUAUUCAGAUAAUCUGCCUCAUGUUCUCCUAGAGCUGUGGAGAUUGAAACAUGUGUUGGUAUCUAUCACAAGAUUAAAAUAAUAGUCAAGAUUUAAAAUCAUUAACAUGUACUUUAUUGCAUAAUGCAUUUAGGUACUCAAAGUGAUUUAUUUUUUUUAGUUAAUGUAAAAGGUUAAAUUUGUUAAUUUGAUGUCACCCUAUAUCUUACCGGCAAUUUUAUAAAAGCCCUCUUUUAAGGACAUGGCCGAUAAAUGUCCGGGAAACACAGUGAAGCUGUUAAUGUACCCCUGCAGUGAGAGGACCACCUUGCGAAUGGUUCGACAAACCAUGUUUUUCCCUAGGUUCUCUGCAUCACCGACCGCAUACAGGUAUGUACCACUUGCAAAAAAAAUGCAACGCAAUACACAUCAUUUGCAGUACAGUAAGGGCAUGGCUUCGACGUGUCACAUUUCUUAUGCGAGGCUCAAGAAAUUCGCAGAGAUAAGAGAUUCCUUCCGCGGAAAAUCUAUCUUUCAUACAAAUAAGUCUCAGGGAAGGCAAGGGGAUUUUGUCUGUCCCUAAAAACUCCCUCUCUAUAAAGUGCUCGUCUAACAAUUUGCACGGAGAUGUCCACAGGAUUCGGAAGAAAAGGUGAAGCCAUUGCAACAGAUGCUGGGGAUUAGUUACGUCACCUAUGUAUUUCUUUGCUCACAGCUGAUUGGUCAAAUUUCAGCCUGAGAUCACAAAUCCAGAGCAUAACCUGCCCCAGAGCAGGUUAGCCGUGCAGCGUCA